rnacentral:rRNA from 1 species
GACGUAGGGCGCGAGCGUUGUCCGGAUUUAUUGGGCGUAAAGAGCUCGUAGGCGGCUUGUCGCGUCGUCCGUGAAAACCUGCAGCUCAACUGCAGGCUUGCGGUCGAUACGGGCAGGCUGGAGUUCGGUAGGGGAGACUGGAAUUCCUGGUGUAGCGGUGGAAUGCGCAGAUAUCAGGAAGAACACCCGUGGCGAAGGCGACUCUCUGGAACGCAACUGACGCUGAGACGCGAAAGCGUGGGGAGCAAACAGG